UUAUCGCGAUAGGCCUAUAGCUCGAUGGG
rnacentral:sRNA from 1 species